GAGUUUUGAUCAUGGCUCAGGAUGAACGCUAGCUACAGGCUUAACACAUGCAAGUCGAGGGGCAGCUAUUUUAGUUUGCUUGCAAACUAAAGAUGGCGACCGGCGCACGGGUGAGUAACACGUAUCCAACCGGCCGAUAACUCGGGGAUAGCCUUUCGAAAGAAAGAUUAAUAUCCGAUAGUAUAUUAAAACCGCAUUGGUUUUACUAUUAAAGAAUUUCGGUUAUCGAUGGGGAUGCGUUCCAUUAGUUUGUUGGCGGGGUAACGGCCCACCAAGACUACGAUGGAUAGGGGUUCUGAGAGGAAGGUCCCCCACAUUGGAACUGAGACACGGUCCAAACUCAUACGGGAGGCAGCA
rnacentral:rRNA from 1 species